AGAGUUCGAUCCUGGCUCAGGAUGAACGCUGGCGGCGCGCCUAACACAUGCAAGUCGAACGGUUAAAGCCCCUUCGGGGGUGCAUAGAGUGGCGAACGGCUGAGUAACACGUGGGCAACCUGCCCCCCGCACCGGGACAGCCUCGGGAAACCGUGGUUAAUACCGGAUACUCCGCCACCCCCGCAUGGGGGCGGCGGGAAAGCCCAGGCGGAGGGGGAUGGGCCCGCGGCCUGUUAGCUCGUUGGCGGGGUAACGGCCCACCAAGGCGAUGAUGGGUAGCCGGGUUGAGAGACCGACCGGCCAGAUUGGGACUGAGACACGGCCCAGACUCCUACGGGAGGCAGCAGUGGGGAAUCUUGCACAAUGGGCGAAAGCCUGAUGCAGCGACGCCGCGUGCGGGACGAAGGCCUUCGGGUCGUAAACCGCUUUCAGCAGGGACGAGGCCGCGAGGUGACGGUACCUGCAGAAGAAGCCCCGGCUAACUACGUGCCAGCAGCCGCGGUAAUACGUAGGGGGCGAGCGUUAUCCGGAUUCAUUGGGCGUAAAGCGCGCGCAGGCGGCCUGCUCGGUCGGGAGUCAAAUCCGGGGGCUCAACCCCCGCCCGCUCCCGAUACCGGCGGGCUUGAGUCUGGUAGGGGAAGGCGGAAUUCCCAGUGUAGCGGUGGAAUGCGCAGAUAUUGGGAAGAACACCGGUGGCGAAGGCGGCCUUCUGGGCCACGACUGACGCUGAGGCGCGAAAGCUAGGGGAGCGAACAGGAUUAGAUACCCUGGUAGUCCUAGCCGUAAACGAUGGACACUAGGUGUGGGGGGGAGGAUCCCUCCGUGCCGCAGCCAACGCAUUAAGUGUCCCGCCUGGGGAGUACGGCCGCAAGGCUAAAACUCAAAGGAAUUGACGGGGGCCC
rnacentral:rRNA from 1 species